AUUGAACGCUGGCGGCAGGCCUAACACAUGCGAGUCGAGCGGAUGAAGGGAGCUUGCUCCUGGAUUCAGCGGCGGACGGAUGAGUAAUGCCUAGGAAUCUGCCUGGUAGUGGGGGAUAACGUCCGGAAACGGGCGCUAAUACCGCAUACGUCCUGAGGGAGAAAGUGGGGGAUCUUCGGACCUCACGCUAUCAGAUGAGCCUAGGUCGGAUUAGCUAGUUGGUGGGGUAAAGGCCUACCAAGGCGACGAUCCGUAACUGGUCUGAGAGGAUGAUCAGUCACACUGGAACUGAGACACGGUCCAGACUCCUACGGGAGGCAGCAGUGGGGAAUAUUGGACAAUGGGCGAAAGCCUGGUCCAGCCAUGCCGCGUGUGUGAAGAAGGUCUUCGGAUUGUAAAGCACUUUAAGUUGGGAGGAAGGGCAGUAAGUUAAUACCUUGCUGUUUUGACGUUACCAACAGAAUAAGCACCGGCUAACUUCGUG
rnacentral:rRNA from 1 species